UAGGGAAUCUUCCGCAAUGGACGCAAGUCUGACGGAGCAACGCCGCGUGAGUGAAGAAGGAUUUCGGUUCGUAAAACUCUGUUGUUAGAGAAGAACAGCGCAUAGAGUAACUGUUAUGCGUGUGACGGUAUCUAACCAGAAAGCCACGGCUAACUACGUGCCAGCAGCCGCGGUAAUACGUAGGUGGCAAGCGUUGUCCGGAUUUAUUGGGCGUAAAGCGAGCGUAGGCGGUCAAUUAAGUCUGAUGUGAAAGCCCCCGGCUCAACCGGGGAGGGUCAUUGGAAACUGGUUGACUUGAGUGCAGAAGAGGAGAGUGGAAUUCCAUGUGUAGCGGUGAAAUGCGUAGAUAUAUGGAGGAACACCAGUGGCGAAGGCGACUCUCUGGUCUGUAACUGACGCUGAGGCUCGAAAGCGUGGGUAGCAAACAGG
rnacentral:rRNA from 1 species